GCGGCCGCCUGUGAAGUGAAGCGAAGGGAAGUGAAGUGAAGUGAAGGGGGGUGGCGGUGAGGAGAGGCGGCCCCGACGGAGCCGCGGUGCAUCGCACGGCGCUGGGAGCGGCCCCGGAUACCGCCCAGGUGAGGUGGAGCGAUCCCCCUUGCACCAGGGUGUACGCGCGUCACCAAGAAACACAGGCCUGCUCUAUAUCCUUCCCGGCUAGAGGGUCUGAUUUCCACAUGUCAAGAAGCACUAUGGCAAAUCCACCUGCAGAAAGCACAGCCCUUCCAUUGAGUAACAAAGAAAGCACUCUGCCCUUGCUCCUGACCCUCGUCCCUGCCCCCACCUGCCCUCACAGUACAGCCAUCUUCUCUUGAGCAGGGUAAAGAGCAGUGAGAAUUCAUACUUGGUUAUCCUGGCACAAAGAGUUUGUGGGCCACAAAGAGAAAUCCCUGCAUUCCAGAAAACAGAGGCAAAAAGAGACAGACGGAGGAGCGCCUAAUAAAGAUGUGACGAUGUUCUCAGCUGCGGCUGCUGUUGCUGGAUACAAGCAACCACACGAGGGAGGCUGAGCACGCUCUCCUGUCUCCAUCCCAAUCCAGGAAACACACAGAAGAGCUCAGUGCUCUCUUGCUUUCAUUUCCUUCCAUGACCAAUUUUAAAAUGCACCUUGUUCUAGGCCGGCACAAGCUCUAGGGCCUAAAGGCAGCGCCUGAGUGGCCAGCACAGCCCCGGGGCCUAAAGCCUCAGCCAGAGAGGCAUGAGGGCCCUGUGACCUAAAGCCAUCACAAGAGAGGCCAGCACCGACCCCAGCGCCUAAAGCCACAGCCCGAGAUGCCUAAACAGACCCCGGGGCCUGAAGCCACAGGCAGGCAGGCCUGCACUGGCGCUGCAUCCUGAAGACUCAUCCCCAGCCUGAGAGGCCAGCACCAGCCCUGGGCCUAAAGCCAGAGUCACGGCAUCGAGAGGCCAGCACCAGCUCCAGGGCCUAAAGCCACAGCCCAAAGGGCCAGCACGUGCCCUGGGGCCUGAAGCCACUGCUAGAGAGGCCAGCACCGGCCCCAGGGCCUGAAGCCACAGCCUGACAGGCUGGAACCAAUCCGGGGAGUUCAAGCCACUACCACAGUUAGAGAGCUCAGCACAGGACUCAGGGUCUGAAGACACAGCCCCACCCUGAGAGGCCAGCACUGGCCUCGAGGCACACAGGGGUGCAUUCCAAUUGGUUUCUACUGAUUCCUAUUGGUCUCUAUUCACCCCCAUCAGUCCUUGCUGGUCUUUUCUGGACGCUGACGCAUUCCUUUCACAAAAACGAGGUCUGAUGUCCCACUCGUUUUCGGUUUUGUUGCCCGUUUGUAAAAUAUUUUAUGACGUAUACAUAUCAAUCUA